UACAGAGGUCUCAAGCGUUGUUCGGAUUCAUUGGGCGUAAAGGGUGCGUAGGCGGCGCGGUAAGUCGGGUGUGAAAUCUCGGAGCUUAACUCCGAAACUGCAUUCGAUACUGCCGUGCUUGAGGACUGGAGAGGAGACUGGAAUUUACGGUGUAGCGGUGAAAAUGCGUAGAUAUCGUAAGGAAGACCAGUGGCGAAGGCGGGUCUCUGGACAGGUUCCUGACGCUGAGGCACGAAGGUCAGGGGAGCAAACGGG
rnacentral:rRNA from 1 species